GAGAGUAUAGCUCAGUGGUAGAGCACAUACUUAGGAUGCACGAGGUCCUGGGUUCGAUUCCCAGUACUUCUA
rnacentral:tRNA from 1 species